UACGUAGGGUGCAAGCGUUAAUCGGAAUUACUGGGCGUAAAGCGUGCGCAGGCGGCUUUGCAAGACAGGUGUGAAAUCCCCGGGCUUAACCUGGGAACUGCAUUUGUGACUGCAUGGCUGGAGUGCGGUAGAGGGGGAUGGAAUUCCGCGUGUAGCAGUGAAAUGCGUAGAUAUGCGGAGGAACACCGAUGGCGAAGGCAAUCCCCUGGGCCUGCACUGACGCUCAUGCACGAAAGCGUGGGGAGCAAACAGG
rnacentral:rRNA from 1 species